UUCCCACCGAUGGAAACCAGCCUGUAGUUCACUACACACGGACUGGAACCGACAGGCCCACGGCGUCUGUGAGUCCUGUCUUGAACACAGUCGUGGAACCAUCAGAUGCUGAAAAUAUAUACGUAGAAAAUCAUCCUUGCUUUCCAAGUAGCCAUCGGCUUCCAGCUGCAACAACGCCCUCUAGCAGUGGCAUUCCGGUAACAAGGAAUUUUCGACGUUACC